rnacentral:miRNA from 1 species
CCGGCUCCCCGGCUGUCAAGC